rnacentral:rRNA from 1 species
AGAUUGAACGCUGGCGGCAUGCCUAACACAUGCAAGUCGAACGGGAGUAGCAAUACUCUAGUGGCGGACGGGUGAGGAAUACGUAGGAAUUUGCCCUUAAGUGGGGGAUAACCCGGGGAAACCCGGAUUAAUACCGCAUGACCUCGAAAGAGCAAAGUGGGGGAUCGCAAGACCUCACGCUUUUGGAGAAGCCUACGUCGGAUUAGCUAGUUGGUGAGGUAAUGGCUCACCAAGGCGACGAUCCGUAACUGGUCUGAGAGGAUGAUCAGUCACACCGGAACUGAGACACGGCCCAGACUCCUACGGGAGGCAGCAGUGGGGAAUAGUU